GGGCUAGGGCUUCAACACAUGGAUUUGAGGGGGACAGAGUUCAGUCCAUAACAGGCUGGAAAUGCAAUCACAGGUAUCCUUAUAGGGUAGACACACAGAAGCAGAGACAGGGAGAAGAGGAGGAAAUAACGAGACCACAAAAGCAGAGAUAGAAGUGAUGCAGCCACAAACCAAGGAAUGCCUGGAGCCACCAGACAGGGAAAGACAAGGAGUGGACUCUCCCCUGGAGCUGUGGGAAGGAGGGAGGCCCUGCAGAUACCUUGUUUUGACUUCUGGCUUCCAGAACUAGUCAGAACUAAACCUUAUGAUGCAACUGCUUUCUGGAAGAUGCAACUGUUUGCAAGAUGAUUCUGCAGUUGACACAGCACCAAAGAAUAUUGUUGACAUGAACAAGCAGGUAAAGUGUUCUGACGACAACCUGGGAAAAAGCACCUUGGGCUAAGAUCAGCGCAGAUGAAGUUCCCUUCCUAGUGGCCCUGCUCCCAACAGUCUAUCUGUGCCUCCACCGUGGCACCUACGACUUUGAACACCGUUCUGCAGCUAUGGACAUACAAGGUAACCUCCCCUACCAGAGCAACCCUCCUUGAGGUCCACCAUGUUCAGUCUCACCACCUGCUGCCCCCCAACACACACACACACACAACUCCUAGGCCAAAACCUUAAACACAGCAAUCAUUCGGCAAAUCUACGAGGAGGGAUAAUUUAUGAACAUUUUCCACUGAGCUUGGUUCAGUGUGAUCACAAAGAUCGGCCAGUCCAUGCUUGUUGACUGGCUCAUUGCCACAUGUCUACAUGCCAGAUAGCACCCUGAAUUGCACCCAGGAGAAUGCUACAGAUGUGUGCUCCACCUGAGUGCAUGGGCAUGUGCCGCACAAGCACCUCUCCAGGGAGUCAUGGUAGAAGGUCCUCACGGUCCACAGUUGCGCCUUUGAGGAAGAGGAGGUGGAGUGAGGCGGUACCCCUUUGGCUUGUGGAAGGCUGUGUACCUGAUGGUAAAGCACUGGCUUUAGAGUCAGAUGGUACUUCUCUGAUCACCCACCAUUUCUUUUCCUUUUUUAAACCGUGAUAAAAUAGACAUAACAUAAAAUUUACCGUCUUAACCAUUUUUAGGUGUACAGUUCAG
rnacentral:lncRNA from 1 species